GCUGCGCGCGCAUGUUUCCUCUUUUCCUGGUUUCUCAGAGUGCUGCUGCUAACGCGGUUCCUGGCCCGCACUAUCUGUUGCCAUCCCGGCCGGCCGAGGCCGUUACAGGUUUUGGAAGAUGGCAAAGUUCAUGACACCGGUGAUCCAGGACAAUCCCUCAGGCUGGGGUCCCUGCGCGGUUCCUGAGCAGUUUCGGGAUAUGCCCUACCAACCAUUCAGCAAAGGAGAUCGGCUAGGAAAGGUUGCAGACUGGACAGGAGCCACGUACCAAGAUAAGAGGUACACAAAUAAGUACUCCUCUCAGUUUGGUGGUGGGAGUCAAUAUGCCUAUUUCCAUGAGGAGGAUGAAAGUAGCUUCCAGCUGGUGGAUACAGCGCGCACACAGAAGACAGCCUACCAGCGGAAUCGGAUGAGAUUUGCCCAGAGGAACCUCCGCAGAGACAAAGAUCGUCGGAACAUGUUGCAGUUCAACCUGCAGAUCCUGCCUAAGAGUGCCAAACAGAAAGAGAGAGAACGCAUUCGACUGCAGAAAAAGUUCCAGAAACAAUUUGGGGUUAGGCAGAAAUGGGAUCAGAAAUCACAGGUAAUGUAUUUAUACCAGAAUUCUGCCUUGGAAUUUGGUUCUGUUUAUUUGGUUGUCUUUAUUAAUAGCUUAGAUGAGAUAUACUUCACAUACC
rnacentral:sRNA from 1 species